rnacentral:rRNA from 1 species
ACGAACGCUGGCGGCGUGCUUCACACCUGCCAGUCGAACGGUGAAGCGCCUUCCUUUUUGGUGGGUGUGGAUGAGUGGCGAACGGGUGAGUAACACGUGAGUAACCUGCCCCCUUCUUCUGGAUAACCGCAUGAAAGUGUGGCUAAUACGGGAUAUUCUGGGUCUGUCGCAUGAUGGGUCUGGGAAAGAUAUUGUUUCGGUGGGGGAUGGGCUCGCGGCCUAUCAGCUUGUUGGUGGGGUGAUGGCCUACCAAGGCGGUGACGGGUAGCCGGCCUGAGAGGGUGGGCGGUCACACUGGGGCUGAGACACGGCCCAGACUCCUACGGGAGGCAGCAGUGGGGAAUAUUGCACAAUGGGCGCAAGCCUGAUGCAGCGACGCCGCGUGAGGGAUGGAGGCCUUCGGGUUGUGAACCUCUUUCGCCAGUGAAGCAGGCCUGCCUCGUUUGUGGGUGGGUUGACGGUAGCUGGAUAAGAAGCGCCGGCUAACUACGUG